rnacentral:rRNA from 1 species
CCCUUAGAUGUUCUGGGCAGCACGCGCGCUACAAUGGUCUUCGCAAACGGAUGCAUUCUCGAAGGAGAAUGCCAAUCUUGGAAUCUAUGCCUUGGUCGGGACAGUUGCUUGCAAUUUUUCGACUCGAACCAGGAAUUCCUUGUAAUCGUGAUUCAUCACAUCACGAUGAAUACGUCCCUGCCCUUUGUACACACCGCCCGUCGCUCCUACCGAUCGAAGAGUUAGGUGAUUUGUUUUGAUCGAUAAGAUUUGACUAUGGUCAACUCUCGUUGUGAAAUUCUGUGAAUCUGACUGUUUAGAGGAAGGAAAAGUCGUAACA